AUGAACGCUGGCGGCGUGCCUAAUACAUGCAAGUCGCGCGAACAGACGAGGAGCUUGCUCCUCUGACAUUAGCGGCGGACGGGUGAGUAACACGUGGAUAACCUACCUAUAAGACUGGGAUAACUUCGGGAAACCGGAGCUAAUACCGGAUAAUAUAUUGAACCGCAUAGUUCAAUAGUGAAAGACGGUUUUGCUGUCACUUAUAGAUGGAUCCGCGCCGCAUUAGCUAGUUGGUAAGGUAACGGCUUACCAAGGCAACGAUGCGUAGCCGACCUGAGAGGGUGAUCGGCCACACUGGAACUGAGACACGGUCCAGACUCCUACGGGAGGCAGCAGUAGGGAAUCUUCCGCAAAGGGCGAAAGCCUGACGGAGCAACGCCGCGUGAGUGAUGAAGGUCUUCGGAUCGUAAAACUCUGUUAUUAGGGAAGAACAAAUGUGUAAGUAACUAUGCACGUCUUGACGGUACCUAAUCAGAAAGCCACGGCUAACUACGUG
rnacentral:rRNA from 1 species